rnacentral:rRNA from 1 species
UGGGGAAUUUUCCGCAAUGGGCGAAAGCCUGACGGAGCGACGCCGCGUGGAGGAUGAAGUAUUUCGGUAUGUAAACUCCUGUCAUCAGGGACGAAAGAAAUGACGGUACCUGAGGAGGAAGCAUCGGCUAACUACGUGCCAGCAGCCGCGGUAAUACGUAGGAUGCAAGCGUUGUUCGGAAUUACUGGGCGUAAAGCGUACGUAGGCGGUGACAUAAGUUUAAUAUUAAAGACCGAAGCUCAACUUCGGGAAUGUAUUGAAUACUGUGUCGCUAGAGGUUAAUAGAGGAAAUCGGAAUUCCCAGUGUAGCGGUGAAAUGCGUAGAUAUUGGGAAGAACACCGGUGGCGAAAGCGGAUUUCUGGGUUAAUACUGACGCUGAGGUACGAAAGUGUGGGGAGC